rnacentral:rRNA from 1 species
AUUGAACGCUAGCGGGAUGCCUAACACAUGCAAGUCGAACGGAGUGGCGAACGGGUGAGUAAUGCAUCGGAAUGUGCCCAGUAGCGGGGGAUAACUACGCGAAAGAGGAGCUAAUACCGCAUACUAUUAGAGCGGCCGAUGUCGGAUUAGCUAGUUGGUGGGGUAACGGCCUACCAAGGCGACGAUCCGUAGCUGGUUUGAGAGGACGACCAGCCACACUGGAACUGAGACACGGCCCAGACUCCUACGGGAGGCAGCAGUGGGGAAUUUUGGACAAUGGGCGAAAGCCUGAUCCAGCCAUCCCGCGUGUGCGAAGAAGGCCUUCGGGUUGUAAAGCACUGUUGGCAGGGAAGCGGUACCUACAGAAUAAGCACCGGCUAACUACGUGCCAGCAGCCGCGGUAAUUC